GCCUAGCGUGGUGGCAUGUGCCUGACAUCCCAGCUAGUCGGGAGGCCGAGGCGGGAGGAUCGCUUGAGCCCAGAAGUUCUGGGCUGUAGUGUGCUAUACCGAUCGGGUGUCCACACUAAGUUCAGCAUCAGUAUGAUGAUCUCCCAGGAGUGGGGGACCACUAGGUUGCCUAAGGAGGGGUGAACCGACCCAGAACGGAAAUAGAGCAGGUCAAAACUCCCAUGCUGAUCAGUAGUGGGAUCGCGCCCAUGAAUAGCCAUUACACUCCAUCCUGGGCAACAUAGCAAGACCCGUCUCUU
rnacentral:SRP_RNA from 1 species